rnacentral:piRNA from 1 species
UGAAAGCUAGGGGCCACAGGUGAUG